CUCUUAGAUGUUCUGGGCCGCACGCGCGCUACACUGAUGAAUGCAACGAGCUCUACCCUUGACCGAAAGGCCCGGGUAAACUUGUGAAACUUCAUCGUGAUGGGGAUAGAUUAUUGCAAUUAUUAAUCUUCAACGAGGAAUUCCUAGUAAGCGCGAGUCAUCAGCUCGCGUUGAUUACGUCCCUGCCCUUUGUACACACCGCCCGUCGCUCCUACCGAUUGAAUGGUCCGGUGAAAUCUUCGGAUUGCUGACCAAGAUCCAGCAAUGGAGCUUGGUUGCGAGAAGUUGAUUAAACCUUAUUAUUUAGAGGAAGGAGAAGUCGUAACA
rnacentral:rRNA from 1 species